CCAUACACUACCAGAGCAAGAAGUUAAAGAAUGCUGAAGUGCUUUAGAAAACACAAUAUUUUUGUAAAAAAAAACAUAGUGGUUAUUUUUAUCUCCAACUUUGGAGCAAUCAACAUUAGGGGUCCAUGGGAGAAGUUCUGAGUUUUGAAAUCAAGGACAACAAGUUUCAGUGAUUGUCCUUUCACCUUGUUAAUGCUUAACUAGGUUGAACAGGAAACUAAAGUUGUUUAAAUUGAAAAGGUAGAUCAGAUGGUUAAUAAGUAUUUAAGAGGUAAGGACAUUUUCUUUACAGCAUUGCCAGUCAUUGUAGCCUCAAAUAUAUGUGAUCAUAACUUUUCAACUAAUAAUCUUGUGUCUUUGCAUAAUGUUUCUGUAUCGUAAUUUCUGAGCAGCUUUAUUGGUAUUUCUUCUUUUAGUUCAAUAUUACUUGUGGCAUUUAUUGACAGAGAGUUUAAAAGUUAAACAGGAAGAAGUACAGCCUUAUUAAUAAUUGUUGCACUGUCAAUAGAUUUAUAUUAUACAAGCUGCCUUGAAAUUUAAAGAGAGUUUAAAAGUUUAAAAGUCAAAUGUGCAAUAUUCCUCUGAGUGAAAAAAACUGAAGCAAUGCUUGAUGAUGCCAUGUCCAGAUUUGGUUUCAAACCUUAGCCAUCUUUAGAUUAAGAAAGAAAGAUAUUCCCAUUCUGCCUGAAGCUGCUACAACACUCUGAAAAGCCUCUGUAAUAAUAUCUUUACAAUCGCACUGAACUGGGUUCUUUCUCUUGGAUAUAUUUGUAAGACGGCUUUAAAUUGCAGCUCUUCUCCCACAGAAGCUUGGUGAACAAAUUUUCAGUUUCCCUUUAUGAUUCAGCCAGGCUUGGGACUGUCCACAGUGCAGUUAAUGGAGAGAACACCCAUGGGACGUUUUACUUGUGGCUGUGAUGUGGGAUUAUUCAGAAUGAAUUCUGGAAGAUUACAUCCCAUGGAAUUUAGUGAAAGCCAGUCAGUUGGAUUCACAAUUGGCCCAAAGAUAAUUGAAAAUUGUAAGUAAGCACUGUCUGAGAAAAUGGACAACAUCGGCCUUUGUGUAGUCAUCUGCUACCUCAGUCUCAAGGGCUUAUCACCCAAGGAGAUCCAUGAGGACAUGGUGGCAACACUAGGGGAGGGUGAAAAAUAAAUCUGCUAGGUUUUCUAAAAUUUGACUCCUUCUACCUUUGGCCACAAACUUAUCAAUCACCCCUCAUAUAAGCAGAUAUAUGAUUUGAGAAUGACCACUUGUUUCAUGAUGAAGAACACAAGUAAUCUGACCUUCCAAACCAUCUCCAAAAAUACAUUAAAAGAUUAAGGUCUUCAGAAUAACAUAUGCAAAAUAUUCCACAAAACACUGACAGUGCUUUCCCGGAAUCUUAAGUAAUUCCUGUAAUAGUCUCCUCUACACGGUGAUCUCUUACAAUUUUAACUGGGUUGGAUGAGUUCCAGAAGGCUUACUGAUUCUAAAAUUAACUGCAAUAUGAAUAAUACUGAUUCCUGUCUACCAUCCUCCUUUCUUGGGACCUAGGAGGCUUGUUAAUUGUCAUUAAUGUUAACCAUAUUCUUGAGAACCAAGUCUUGAAAUAGUCUUUAUUCCAAAAAAAUACUAAAGACCCAAUGUUGAAUUCACAACUGGGUCUGUGUAUGAAACCACAAAAAAAUCUGUAAAAUUCUAUCUUGCUUUAAAACCUUAGUGUUUAAAAUAUACUUUCUGAAGUAUAGUUUUUGGAACCAGCCUCCUGAAUUAUGCAGCACUGAUGUUCCACUGGGUGGAAACCCAUACCUCCUCUUUGAGACCCGCUAUCACUUAGGGUCCAGCAAUUGCAAAAAGAUUCACAGUGAAUCCUGCAUCAUUUAAUGGAGAGAUUCCCCAUUGGACUGAUCCAUCUCUCAAUGGCAUGGCAGUAGAUCUGUCUGCCCCAUCUACUGGCAUGAAGAGAUGGUUAAUAGGGGCAGGUAUGGCAGUACAUGAGUUAAAGAAUCUUGCCUCAUAGCUUUGUUAUUUUUGUGUUUCCCUCUGGUGCUUUUAUGACAAUACUUUUGUGUCAUUGGUGGAUUUGCUUUCUAACCCUUCUGAGUUGUUUUUGAAAACUGUGAACAGUUUUAUCUCCAAAACAGUGUCACGACGGUGCAGAUGUGGCCCAAGUGUGGAGUGAGAGACACUGACGUGGGUUGAUAGUUCACAGACUUUAAUGUGAACAGUGUUAAAGGGAAAAGAAAACAAUACACACUAGGCCAAACGGGGCCAUUAACUAAAACUCUCAAAUGGAAAAUGAAGCUUAUACUGCAGCUGAAAAGAACAACUAAAUAUAAAACAAAUACCACUCGUCUCCAGGGUCAGUUGACUCGACAGUCCAAUUUCCCAGGCAAGGUCGAAUGCAAACAGACAGCGAAGUGUUGCUGUGUUCUGUGUCCAAGUCUCGACAAAACUACAAUGGAAUGAAUGGAGUUAAAUUCUAUCACAAUGAAGGAAUAACUAGCUGACAGGUGCACAUUCGUAAGCACAAUUGAUAUAUCUUCUGCGCUGCCAAAUCCAUGGCUGUAACAAACAGAUAUUUGGGAGACCUGUCAAUUUGGGUAUCUAUUGUCUAGGACGUAGGACUUUUAAAAGAUCCUUAAUAAGAUGCCUCCCAAAAGAUUACUAAACAAAAUUAGAGUCAUUGUACUGGGGAUGAUAUACUGGUAUGGAUUAAAGAUUGGUCAAAAAUAGAGAAAAAAUAUAUUGUAUUCAGGUAUUCAGGCUGACCAGCAGAGUGCUGAAUGAAUUGGUGCUGGGACCUGAGCUAUUCAUGAUCAACAUCAAUGGCUGAACAAGUUGAACAUCAGUCAGAGCAACAUGUCUCUGCUUGGCUGAUUAUGGUCUCUGAAGCAGAACUGACGAGGCUCUGGUAGAUAAAAACAUUCUAAGUGAAUAGGGAAGUGUGUAGUAAACUGGAAAUUCUGCAGAUGCUGGAAAUCUAAAGCAACACACACAAAAUGCUGGAGGAACUCAGCAUGUCAGGCAGCAUAGAAAUAAAUAAACAGUUGAUGUUUCAGACGGAGAACCUGCUUCAGGACUGGAAAGGAAAGGGGAAGAUGCCAAAAUAAAAUGGUAAGGGGAGGGGAAGGAGGAUAGAUAGAAGGUGAUAGGUGAAGCUAGGUGAGUAGUGAAGAUAAAGGGCUGAAGAGAAAGGAAUCUGAUAGUAGGGGAGGAGGAGGGGACACAGGGAGGUGAUAGGUGUGAAGAGGCAAGAGGCCAGUGUGGGGAAUAGAAGAAAGUGGAGAGGGAGGGAAUUUUUUUUACUGGAAGGAGAAAUCAAUGUUUUUGCCAUCAAGUUUGAGAUGGAAUAUAAGAUGUUUCUCCUCCACCCCGAGGGUUGCUGCUUCUUGUCACAAGAGGUGGCCAUAGAUCAUCAUGUCGUAACAGGAAUAGGAAUUAAAAUGUUUGGUCACUGGGAAGUUCUGCUUCUGGUGGUUGGAGCAGAGGGGCUCAAUGAACUAGAAACCCAAUUUAGAAUGGCUGUCACCAAAGUAGAGGAGCCCUGGACACAAUGGAUGACCCCAGUAGCCACACAGGUGAAGUGUUGUUGGAACAUAAUGAGAAGAAUGUGAGGUCUGUGACUUCAAUAGAAAAAAAUGGAGUAAUUUUUAAAAAGUGGUAAAAUUCAGAGGGGCCUGGAUGUCCUGCAAGAUUCACUUAAAGUUAAUAUACAGAUUCAAAGGAGAUUUAUGGAGAAUAAAAUAGUAUGAUAAGCUUUAUUGCAAGCAGAUGAGUAGCAGAGCAACAUCAUCUUUAUAGGACCCUGAUACCCUGAUAC